GAUGAACGCUGGCGGCGUGCCUAAUACAUGCAAGUCGAGCGAACAGACGAGGCGCUUGCUCCUCUGACGUUAGCGGCGGACGGGUGAGUAACACGUGGAUAACCUACCUAUAAGACUGGGAUAACUUCGGGAAACCGGAGCAAAUCCCGGAUAAUAUAUUGAACCGCAUGGUUCAAUAGUGAAAGACGGUUUUGCUGUCACUUAUAGAUGGAUCCGCGCCGCAUUAGGUAGUUGGGCAGUUCACGGCUUUCCACGGCAACGAUGCGUAGACGACCUGCGAGGGGGAUAGGCCACACGAGAAGGUGGACAGCGACAAGGCUCCUGAGGGAGGCAGCAGAAGGGUACGGUACGCAAUAGGCGAAAGCCUGACGGAGCAACGCGGCGUGAGUGAUGAAGGUGUUCGGAGCGUAAAACUCUGUUAUUAGGGAAGAACAGAUUUGGAAGUAACUAUGCACGUCUUGACGGUACCUAAUCAGAAAGCAACGGCUAACUACGUG
rnacentral:rRNA from 1 species